GCUCUUCUGGGUUUCAGGUAUCAGUACCCUACCAUGGAUGAGCUAGCUGAGAUGCUGCCUCCCGUUCUUACACACUUAAGUGUGAAGAGCAUCAUUGGUAUCGGAGUUGGAGCAGGAGCCUACAUCCUCAGCAGGUUUGCACUCAAUCAUCCAGAGCUGGUAGAAGGUCUUGUGCUCAUUAACAUUGACCCGUGUGCUAAAGGCUGGAUUGACUGGGCAGCUUCCAAA